rnacentral:tRNA from 1 species
GGGGAUAUAGCUCAGUUGGUAGAGCUCCGCCCUUGCAA